rnacentral:lncRNA from 10 species
CAAACAGAUAAUUCAGACCUUCAAGAACUCUGAAAUUGUAUCUCCAGUAUGCCUUUUCUGUGGAAGAUCUUUGAGGAUAUACUCCAAUUAAAUGAGGGAGAAAACUGUAAUAGAUGAAGAGAUGAAUGCAGUUGCAGCCAAAUCACCUUAUUUAAAUGCAUCAUUACUGGACACUUCAAUGGUUUCUCCAUUUGAACACUGAAUUUUACUUUACUUCAAAUAUACUGGCACAAGCAGUCUACAUCAUUCAUGAUUUACCUGUUUUACUGUAUUAAAGUAAUA